GAUGAACGCUGGCGGCGUGCUUAACACAUGCAAGUCGAACGGGAAACCUUUUAAUGAAGCUUCGGCAGAUUUAGCUGGUUUCUAGUGGCGGACGGGUGAGUAACGCGUGGGUAACCUGCCUUAUACAGGGGGAUAACAGUCAGAAAUGACUGCUAAUACCGCAUAAGCGCACAGGACCGUAUGGUCCGGUGUGAAAAACUCCGGUGGUAUAAGAUGGACCCGCGUUGGAUUAGCUUGUUGGUGGGGUAACGGCUCACCAAGGCGACGAUCCAUAGCCGGCCUGAGAGGGUGAACGGCCACAUUGGGACUGAGACACGGCCCAGACUCCUACGGGAGGCAGCAGUGGGGAAUAUUGCACAAUGGGGGAAACCCUGAUGCAGCGACGCCGCGUGAAGGAAGAAGUAUCUCGGUAUGUAAACUUCUAUCAGCAGGGAAGAUAGUGACGGUACCUGACUAAGAAGCCCCGGCUAACUACGUG
rnacentral:rRNA from 1 species